CGACCACAGGAAGGAAGGUCCUUUCUGAUCAGAAAUGCCAGACUUUGGGAAAUUAUCCUUUGGAGCCACAGGAAGCAAUUUCAGAGGAGGAAACUGAGGCCCAGAGAAGGAGAGUGAAUGGCCUUCUGUUGCAUAGCUAGCAAACAGCAGAACUGAAAUUCAAACCCAGCAGGGAAAGCACUGGAUUUGGCAUUAGAAGACCUGGGUUCAGAUCCUAGCUGGACCUCUUAUGAUCUGUGUGACCUUGGGAAAAUCACUCCAUCUCUCAUGGCCUUGGUUUUUUCAUCACUAAAAUGGAACAAUUGAACCAGAUGACCUCUAAAACUACUUCCAGCUCUCAAUUUCAAUGAUUCUAUGUCCAAUGACCUUUCUACUACACCCUGCUGUACCUUGCCAAAUCCCAUCUAUCAGGGCUCAGGUCAAAUCCAGCUGAUUUAUUAAACUUUCCCUGGCUCUUUA